AUUGAACGCUGGCGGCAUGCCUUACACAUGCAAGUCGAACGGCAGCACGGGAGCUUGCUCCUGGUGGCGAGUGGCGAACGGGUGAGUAAUACAUCGGAACGUACCCUGAAGUGGGGGAUAACGUAGCGAAAGUUACGCUAAUACCGCAUAUUCUGUGAGCAGGAAAGAGGGGGAUCGCAAGACCUCUUGCUUUAGGAGCGGCCGAUGUCGGAUUAGCUAGUUGGUGAGGUAAAGGCUCACCAAGGCGACGAUCCGUAGCGGGUCUGAGAGGAUGAUCGCCACACUGGGACUGAGACACGGCCCAGACUCCUACGGAGGCAGCAGUGGGGAAUUUUGGACAAUGGGCGCAAGCCUGAUCCAGCCAUGCCGCGUGAGUGAAGAAGGCCU
rnacentral:rRNA from 1 species